GUAACGGGGUGUUAGGGCACGACACCGGAGAGGGAGCCUGAGAAACGGCUACCACAUCCAAGGAAGGCAGCAGGCGCGCAAAUUACCCAAUCCCGACACGGGGAGGUAGUGACAAUAAAUAACAAUACAGGGUUCUUUUGGAUCUUGUAAUUGGAAUGAGUACAAUUUAAAUCUCUUAACGAGGAACAAUUGGAGGGCAAGUCUGGUGCCAGCAGCCGCGGUAAUUCCAGCUCCAAUAGCGUAUAUUAAAGUUGUUGCAGUUAAAAAGCUCGUAGUUGAAUUUCGGGAUUAGUACGCUGGUCGUGCCUUCGGUACGUACUGGUGUUACUGGUUCCUACCUUCUGACGAACCUUCAUGUCAUUAAUUUGGUGUGGCGGGGAAUCAGGACUGUUACUUUGAAAAAAUUAGAGUGUUUAAAGCAGGCUCGCGCUUGAAUACAUUAGCAUGGAAUAAUGAAAUAGGACGUUGACCCUAUUUUGUUGGUUUCUAGGAUUGACGUAAUGAUUAAUAGGGAUAGUUGGGGGCAUUAGUAUUCAAUUGUCAGAGGUGAAAUUCUUGGAUUUAUUGAAGACUAACUACUGCGAAAGCAUUUGCCAAGGAUGUUUUCAUUAAUCAAGAACGAAAGUUAGGGGAUCGAAGACGAUCAGAUACC
rnacentral:rRNA from 1 species